rnacentral:rRNA from 1 species
CCCUUAGAUGUCCUGGGCCGCACGCGCGCUACACUGAUGCAUUCAACGAGUUUUUCCUUGGCCGAGAGGCCUGGGCAAUCUUUUGAACGUGCAUCGUGAUAGGGAUAGAUUAUUGCAAUUAUUAAUCUUGAACGAGGAAUUCCUAGUAAACGCAGAUCAUCAGUCUGCAUUGACUACGUCCCUGCCCUUUGUACACACCGCCCGUCGCACCUACCGAUUGAAUGGUCCGGUGAAGCCUCGGGAAUGUGACCAGUUCGCUUCAUUGUGAGUUGGUUGCGUGAACUUGUCUAAACCUUAUCAUUUAGAGGAAGGUGAAGUCGUAACA